AGCUUUGCGCAGUGGCAGUAUCGUAGCCAAUGAGGUUUAUCCGAGGCACGAUUAUUGCUAAUUGAAAAAGAGGAAGAAAAGCAGAGAGAAGAUCCAACAGUGAUUCAGAAAUAUCAACGGUUGGGCAUGAAGGCAUG